ACUUGAUGCUGUGUGAGCACCAUUUAAAGGGGAGGUUCGCUGUUAGCCUGUCUACUAUCUCCUGUGGGAGGGACAGAGGUAGAGCCUCUGAUUUGUCAGGGUUGAGCUUAAAGUUGGAGAUUGUCCCAUAUGUGUUGAAUGCGGCUAAGAGGUUGGGCAGUGUGACCUCCGGGUUGCGUAUGAAAAAGAGCAAAUCGUCAGCGUACACAGCUACCUUAUGUUUCCUUCAAUGCCCCGAUCCCGCCUGGCCGCCUCCAAAAAUGGCUCUAGAGAGAGGGCAAACAGAAGGGGGGACAGGGGGCACCCCUGUUGCGUCCCAUUCCGGAUGUCAAAUGUCCGGGAGAGGACUCCAUUUAUGUGUAGUUGUGCCUUGGGGGC